UGUAAAAUAAGCUAAGCAGCUAAGCUGUCGGGUUCAUACCCCGAAAAUGAAUUACUCUAUUCUUUUACAG
rnacentral:tRNA from 1 species